rnacentral:tRNA from 1 species
GUGGAAUUUAAGCCCAGCUCAGUUGGUAGAGCAUCAGCUUCCCAAGCUGAGGGUCGCGAGUUCGAAUCUCGUUUUCCGCU